UCGGAGAGCUUGCUCGAAGAUGGUGAGAGUGGCGCCCUUGAGCGUAACGCGUGAGCAACCUACCUCUAUCAGGGGGAUCUUCUCUCGAAAGAGAGAUUAACACCGCAUAACAUCAACAGUUCGCAUGUUCAGUUGAUUAAAUAUUUAUAGGAUAGAGAUGGGCUCGCGUGACAUUAGCUAGUUGGUAGGGUAACGGCUUACCAAGGCGACGAUGUCUAGGGGCUCUGAGAGGAGAAUCCCCCACACUGGUACUGAGACACGGACCAGACUCCUACGGGAGGCAGCAGUAAGGAAUAUUGGUCAAUGGGCGGAAGCCUGAACCAGCCAUGCCGCGUGCAGGAUGACUGCCCUAUGGGUUGUAAACUGCUUUUGUCCGGGAAUAAACCUAGAUACGUGUAUCUAGCUGAAUGUACUGGAAGAAUAAGGAUCGGCUAACUCCGUGCCAGCAGCCGCGGUAAUACGGAGGAUCCGAGCGUUAUCCGGAUUUAUUGGGUUUAAAGGGUGCGUAGGCGGCCUAUUAAGUCAGGGGUGAAAUACGGUGGCUCAACCAUCGCAGUGCCUUUGAUACUGAUGGGCUUGAAUCCAUUUGAAGUGGGCGGAAUAAGACAAGUAGCGGUGAAAUGCAUAGAUAUGUCUUAGAACUCCGAUUGCGAAGGCAGCUCACUAAGCUGGUAUUGACGCUGAUGCACGAAAGCGUGGGGAUCGAACAGGAUUAGAUACCCUGGUAGUCCACGCCCUAAACGAUGAUAACUCGAUGUUGGCGAUAGACAGCCAGCGUCCAAGCGAAAGCGUUAAGUUAUCCACCUGGGGAGUACGCC
rnacentral:rRNA from 1 species